rnacentral:lncRNA from 1 species
CAAUGAGAAACAAUAUUCAGGUCAGGUCAAAGCCUAGAGAAAAAUGCGCAUUCAGAAGUGGGCUGCCAUCCUGCUUUUUCUGAAGUGAACAGCUGCUGGGUAUUGAAACCAGCCCUCACGGUUGGGUCCCUGCCACCAUGGCAACACUCUGGUUUCUGAGCUGGAGUGGCCAAGGCACAAUGGGGUGGUUCCAUGGCCCAGAAGCACUCUAGCUACAGAUUAGAAUGAUGACAAGAGUAAUACCUUCCUAGUGAAGAUGACUUUUAUUUCAGGACUAUAUUAAGUUUCCCAACUUCUGUCAUGAUAUAGUCCAAAGAGAACCUGGACCACGCAGACAUCAAACAGAACAUGACACUGACCCAUUCUAUCAGUGACGUUGUGCUGAUUGCACAGGACAGAUGAGAGGCUCGUAUACUAGAAGUCUUGGUGGUUAUCAAACCUGGGUCAAAGUUGAAUCACCUGAGGAUCUUUUAGAACAUACACAGUCAUAUGAUACUUCAAAAUCUGUGAUUCCAUGAAGCCAAGAGUAGCUCUUCAACAGGAAAUGAAUGAGUGCUUCAGCUUCUGAUCCCAUUAGUAAGAAAAUACAGUCUUAUGAGCAAUGAUGGAGCUGCAUCUCUUAGGGGCAUUUGAUUCCCAAGAGACCAAAGAGCAAAGAGAAUGUCAAUUUAAAAAAAUCAAAUGUUUCCAUGACUUAGCUAUUUAACUGCUUUAAAAUGAAUGAAUGCUGCUUCAAGUUCUUUCAAAUACCCCACAUCUUGGCAACAACGAAAGGAAUUAACAUGAAGAAAAUUUACAAUCUUUCAUCACAUCGAACAAUGUCCCACAUUUGAAAAGUUCACAGCACAGAUUUCUGGUUACUGAAAGAAAGGAAAGACCUUCUUUGGAUUUGAAUAAACAGAUGGACUUUCUUCUCCUUUUUCUUAUAGUGCCCGAUUUGUGUAAAGGGAGGUGGGAAGAAAACAUCUUAGCUUAAAAGAGUGUCCUAUAAAAUAAAAGGUUUCAUACUU